AAUUCCAUAGAAGACUGAGACUAAGCAGUCAUAAAGAUAGAGGCAGAACCUAGAGAACAAAGUCAUGGAAACCAUGGUAGCAGCGCAUUUACAAAAAAGGGUGGGAUGAAAAGCAUCAAUGGACAGUGGAUGGAGUGAGGAGAUUCAAAAUGGACUGGAGAUUCAAAAUAAUCCACUGGUUUUUGACAAGUGAACAGUCUGGUCAGAUUUUCACAGUACCAAACUAUAAGCAUUAUUUCUAACAGCCAAGACAUGGAAACAAACUAUCCACUGAUAGAUGAAUGGAUCAAGAAUGUGUGAUAUAUACAAUCUGGUUUAUACAAAUGGAAUAUUAAUCCAACAAUACAAAACAAGAAAAUCUUGUCACCUGCAACAAGGUGGAUGGACCCUGAGGGCAUUAUGCUAAGUGAGGAGCUAGGAGAAUGAGAUUAUGGAGAAGAAAAGAAUGGGGUCAGAAAUUCCUAGAGGACAGAGAGAAAGCUAAAGAAAAAAGAUUAUGGAUCUUCAGAGGCUUUGUGCCAUUAAAAAAAUAACAACAGAACCAACAGUUCCAGGUUAUAGUUUAGACUACCACCAACUCAGGUACAUUUAUUCACACCAGAAACAAUACAGCACUUCUACAAAUGCACAGCGAUGUUCCACGUUCCCAUCUAACAGAGCUUGCUGAAAUUUAAAGCCAGCUGACCAGGUUCCAUCUGAUGUGUACUCCAUGUAAAGCUGAUUAAUGAUGACCAUAAGCAGACGCAGGACUUGAAGCUUUCAAAGCUGUACUUCUUUUAUGAGCACUCCUGAUUUUAUAAAUGACGAAGCCCAUCAACCUCA